AUUGAACGCUGGCGGCAGGCUUAACACAUGCAGGUCGAGCGGAGAUGAGGUGCUUGCACCUUAUCUUAGCGGCGGACGGGUGAGUAAUGCUUAGGAAUCUGCCUAUUAGUGGGGGACAACAUUCCGAAAGGAAUGCUAAUACAGCAUACGCCCUACGGGGGAAAGCAGGGGAUCUUCGGACCUUGCGCUCAUAGAUGAGCCUAAGGAGGAUUAGCUAGUUGGUGGGGUAAAGGCCUACCAAGGCGACGAUCUGUAGCGGGUCUGAGAGGAUGAUCCGCCACACUGGGACUGGGACACGGCCCAGACUCCUACGGGAGGCAGCAGUGGGGAAUAUUGGACAAUGGGCGGAAGCCUGAUCCAGCCAUGCCGCGUGUGUGAAGAAGGCCUUUUGGUUGUAAAGCACUUUAAGCGAGGAGGAGGCUACCUGGAUUAAUACUCUAGGAUAGUGGACGUUACUCGCAGAAUAAGCACCGGCUAACUCUGUGCCAGCCGCCGCCGUAAGAC
rnacentral:rRNA from 1 species